rnacentral:rRNA from 1 species
GACGAACGCUGGCGGCGUGCCUAAUACAUGCAAGUAGAACGCUGAAGCUUGGUGCUUGCACCGAGCGGAUGAGUUGCGAACGGGUGAGUAACGCGUAGGUAACCUGCCUGGUAGCGGGGGAUAACUAUUGGAAACGAUAGCUAAUACCGCAUAAGAGUAGAUGUUGCAUGACAUUUGCUUAAAAGGUGCAAUUGCAUCACUACCAGAUGGACCUGCGUUGUAUUAGCUAGUUGGUGAGGUAACGGCUCACCAAGGCAACGAUACAUAGCCGACCUGAGAGGGUGAUCGGCCACACUGGGACUGAGACACGGCCCAGACUCCUACGGGAGGCAGCAGUAGGGAAUCUUCGGCAAUGGACGGAAGUCUGACCGAGCAACGCCGCGUGAGUGAAGAAGGUUGUCGGAUCGUAAAGCUCUGUUGUAAGAGAAGAACGAGGGUGAGAGUGGAAAGUUCACACUGUGACGGUAUCUUACCAGAAAGGGACGGCUAACUACGUG